AGUGAACGCUGGCGGCGUGCCUAAUACAUGCAAGUCGAACGGAGUGGCGCACGGGUGUGUAAUGUAUAGCUAAUCUUCCCUACACUAGAGGACAACAGUUGGCAACGACUACUAAUACUCUAUAGUGUAGGAUGAGGCUAUAUUGUAUCAGCUAGUUGGUGAGGUAAUGGCUCACCAAGGCUAUGACGCAUAACUGGUCUGAGAGGAUGAUCAGUCACACUGGAACGGAGACACGGUCCAGACACCUACGAGAGUCAGCAGUAGGGAAUUAUGCUCAAUGGGGGAAACCCUGAAGCAGCAACGCCGCGUGGAGGAUGACACUUUUAGAAGCGUAAACUCCUUUUGUUAGGGAAGUGGUACCUAACGAAUAAGCACCGGCUAACUCCGUGCCAGCAGCCGCGGUAAUAC
rnacentral:rRNA from 1 species